UACGUAGGGGGCAAGCGUUAUCCGGAUUUACUGGGCGUAAAGGGAGCGUAGACGGACUGGCAAGUCUGAUGUGAAAGGCGGGGGCUCAACCCCUGGACUGCAUUGGAAACUGUUAGUCUUGAGUGCCGGAGAGGUAAGCGGAAUUCCUAGUGUAGCGGUGAAAUGCGUAGAUAUUAGGAGGAACACCAGUGGCGAAGGCGGCUUACUGGACGGUAACUGACGUUGAGGCUCGAAAGCGUGGGGAGCAAACAGG
rnacentral:rRNA from 1 species